UGGGCGGGGCUUCCAGAGAGGCCUCCGAGUAGGCCUCCCUGAAGCCUGAACUUGAGUAGGCCCCAAGCAAGGAAGGAAGGAAGGAGGAAGCAGGCAGCAGGCAGCAGACCCUCUGCCCAGACCAGACCAUCCAGAACAGCUAUUGCUAGGACUAAAGUUACCUUCAUCUUCAUUGUGACCUAAGUUUGGAGACGAUGCAGAAGAAAGGAAGAAGUGCUCCAUAUCAGUAACCGAUUGGUUCUCCUGGCCUCUCAUUAACUUUCAGAAAAUGAUUAUAGGAAUCUACUGCUCUACCCUAGGACCACUGCCUUGCAAGAAGAAACAACUUGCUAUCAAGAUCAAAUAUCAACCAGCUAUUCAAGAUCUAAGCUGCCGUACACUGAGUCAACACAUUCAAUGAGCUGACCACCACGACCCCAAGAUCCUUCUCCGGAACAGUCACUGGGAGUUCAGUCUCCAUCAGUCUAUAUGUGAAGCUGGAGUCGGGGUUUGUCCCAAUGUGCAUUUCUUACAUUACUUACUUAAAUUGAAUCAAUUUGCCAUCUUGUUGCCCACUCUCCGAGUUUGUAGAGAUCCCUUUUGAGCUUCUCACCAUCUGUUUUGGAUUUCCCUAACCUCAAUAGUUUAGUGCCAUCUGCAAUUACACCCAAUGGGGUCUAUUAUCAAUAGAGGUUUAAAGGUACAAGGAAAAACAGGAAGCUGAAAACAUUUGCUUGUGAGUGAUUUUAUGGCUACACUCCCAGAAACAGGCAUUCUCUAAAUUCCACUGAAAUCAGCUCAAGAGGUGUAUGUAUUUAACUGCAACCUGUAUUGUAGCUUUUGCUGUAUUUCUUUAUCCAUUUCCAUAUCUGUACUGACUUAAUGAGCCUAGGCUUGUAUAACUAUACAAAAAUAAAUAUAAUUAUAGAAUAUA